GGUGGCUCAGUGGUAGAGUGCUUGCCUUGUAUGCCUGAGGUCCUGGGUUCGAUUCCUCAGCACCA
rnacentral:tRNA from 1 species